rnacentral:rRNA from 1 species
AUUGGACGCUGGCGGAAUGCUUCACACAUGCAAGUCGAACGAUGAACCUUAGCUUGCUAAGGGGAUUAGUGGCGAACGGGUGAGUAAUGUAUCGGAACGUAUCCAAUAGUGGGGGAUAACUAGUCGAAAGAUUAGCUAAUACCGCAUACGUCCUACGGGAGAAAGCUAGGGACCUUCGGGCCUGGCGUUAAUGGAGCGGCCGAUAUCUGAUUAGCUAGUUGGUGGGGUAAAGGCUCACCAAGGCGACGAUCAGUAGCUGGUCUGAGAGGACGACCAGCCACCCUGGAACUGAGACACGGUCCAGACUCCUACGGGAGGCAGCAGUGGGGAAUUUUGGACAAUGGGCGAAAGCCUGAUCCAGCCAUUCCGCGUGAGUGAAGAAGGCCUUCGGGUUGUAAAGCUCUUUCGCAAGGGAAGAAAACUUAAGCUCUAACAUAGCUUGAGGUUGACGGUACCUUGAUAAGAAGCACCGGCUAACUACGUGCCAGCAGCCGCGGUAA